rnacentral:lncRNA from 1 species
GAUGCUGAGUUCUCUAAAUUGCUUCAUGUGAGAUGUAACACAAAACCACAUGUUCACCACUACAGGAAUAGUGUGGAAAACCAGGUGGUAAUAAGGGUCUGCCAACCAAGACAAGGAACUCCAGAAAACUAUUAUUGAUGAUCACAGCAAAACCUCUGCAGAAAUUUCACAUCUGCUGAAGCCCAUGGCAUUUGCCUAGCACUGCCAAAGGAAAAAAUAAUGUCUUCUGGUCUCCAUUCCACCUUCAAAAUCAUGCUCCAGUGCACCUUGUUGUUAGAACAUAAAUUGUAUUCUAUUCCACAGAGUCAAGAGAAUCUAGAGAAUUUGAUUUCUAAAUUCCCAGCUCCUUCAAAACAGAAGAAACCUUAGAAGGGUUUUGCUGCUUGCAAAAUGAAAUUAAACCUGCACACUUAUUUCUGUUCUCUUAAUAGAGACUUUGAAGAGAUUAAUUCAUGAUA